rnacentral:rRNA from 1 species
GCUUAACCGGAGAAGUGCAUCGGAAACUGAUAAACUUGAGUGCAGAAAUGGAUAGUGGAACUUCAUGUGUAGCGGUGAAAUGCGUAGAUAUAUGAAGGAACACCAGUGGCGAAGGCGGCUAUCUGGUCUGUAACUGACGCUGAGGCUCGAAAGCAUGGGUAGCAAACAGGAUUAGAUACCCUGGUAGUCCAUGCCGUAAACGAUGAAUGCUAGGUGUUGGAAGGUUUCCGCCUUUCAGUGCCGCAGCUAACGCAUUAAGCAUUCCGCCUGGGGAGUACGACCGCAAGGUUGAAACUCAAAGGAAUUGACGGGGACCCGCACAAGCGGUGGAGCAUGUGGUUUAAUUCGAUGCUACGCGAAGAACCUUACCAGGACUUGACAUCUUCUGCCAAUCUAAGAGAUUAGACGUUCCCUUCGGGGACAGAAUGACAGGUGGUGCAUGGUUGUCGUCAGCUCGUGUCGUGAGAUGUUGGGUUAAGUCCCGCAACGAGCGCAACCCUUGUCUUUAGUUGCCAGCAUUAAGUUGGGCACUCUAGAGAGACUGCCGGUGAUAAACCGGAGGAAGGUGGGGAUGACGUCAAAUCAUCAUGCCCCUUAUGUCCUGGGCUACACACGUGCUACAAUGGGCGAUACAACG